rnacentral:rRNA from 1 species
CGGCGACAUCGCGGCGCGGAGCAGGGGUAAUACGAAGGGUGCAAGCGUGUCUGGGGAUGACGUGGCGUAAGGGGUGCGUGGGUUGGUCGUGAAGUCUGGUGUGAAAGCCCUGGGCUCAACAGGGGAAUUGCAGUGGAUACUGGCGCGCUAGAGUGCGGUAGAGGGUGGCGGAAUUCCCGGUGUAGCAGUGAAAGGCGUAGAGAUCGGGAGGAACAUCCGUGGCGAAGGCGGCCAUCUGGACCAGCACUGACACUGAGGCACGAAAGCGUGGGGAGCAAACAGGAUUAGAUCCCCGGUAGUC